GAUGAACGCUAGCGGCAGGCCUAACACAUGCAAGUCGAGGGAGAAGCCCUUUCGGGGGCAGAAACCGGCGCACGGGUGCGUAACGCGCAUGCAACCUACUUUUCACAGGGGGAUAGCCCGAAGAAAUUUGGAUUAAUACCCCAUAAUAUUAUUGGAUGGCAUCAUUUGAUAAUUAAAACUGCGGUGGUGAAAGAUGGGCAUGCGUCCUAUUAGCUAGUUGGAGUGGUAACGGCACCCCAAGGCUACGAUAGGUAGGGGACCUGAGAGGGAGAUCCCCCACACUGGUACUGAGACAGUGACCAGACUCCUACGGGAGGCAGCAGUGAGGAAGAUGGGUCAAUGGUCGGAAGACUGAACCAGCCAUGCCGCGUGCAGGAAGAAUGCCUUAUGGGUUGUAAGCUGCUUUUAUAUGGGAAGAAUAAGGCGUACGUGUACGUUGAUGACGGUACCAUAUGAAUAAGCAUCGGCUAACUCCGUG
rnacentral:rRNA from 1 species